GGGGUUGUGGUCUAGUGGUAUGACAUCUUCUUAGCAUUGCUCUUUCGAGCAGUACUGAGUUGGAGAAGGUUCUGGGUUCGAUUCCCAGCUACUCCA
rnacentral:tRNA from 1 species